rnacentral:rRNA from 1 species
AUUGAACGCUGGCGGCAUGAUUUACACAUGCAAGUCGAACGGUAACAGGCCGCAAGGUGCUGACGAGUGGCGAACGGGUGGGUAAUGCAUCGGAACGUGCCCAGUCGUGGGGGAUAACUACUCGAAAGAGUAGCUAAUACCGCAUACGAUCUAUGGAUGAAAGCGGGGGACCGCAAGGCCUCGCGCGAUUGGAGCGGCCGAUGUCAGAUUAGGUAGUUGGUGGGGUAAAGGCUCACCAAGCCAACGAUCUGUAGCUGGUCUGAGAGGACGACCAGCCACACUGGGACUGAGACACGGCCCAGACUCCUACGGGAGGCAGCAGUGGGGAAUUUUGGACAAUGGGCGCAAGCCUGAUCCAGCAAUGCCGCGUGCAGGAAGAAGGCCUUCGGGUUGUAAACUGCUUUUGUACGGAACGAAACGGCUCUGGUUAAUACCCGGGGCUAAUGACGGUACCGUAAGAAUAAGCACCGGCUAACUACGUG